CUCGUAGACUCCUACGGGAGGCAGCAGUGGGGAAUAUUGCACAAUGGGCGCAAGCCUGAUGCAGCCAUGCCGCGUGUAUGAAGAAGGCCUUCGGGUUGUAAAGUACUUUCAGCAGUGAGGAAGGUUCAUGCGUUAAUAGCGUAUGGAUUUGACGUUAGCUGCAGAAGAAGCACCGGCUAACUCCGUGCCAGCAGCCGCGGUAAUACGGAGGGUGCGAGCGUUAAUCGGAAUUACUGGGCGUAAAGCGCAUGCAGGUGGUUUGUUAAGUCAGAUGUGAAAGCCCCGGGGCUCAACCUCGGAAUUGCAUUUGAAACUGGCAGACUAGAGUACUGUAGAGGGGGUAGAAUUUCAGGUGUAGCGGUGAAAUGCGUAGAGAUCUGAAGGAAUACCGGUGGCGAAGGCGGCCCCCUGGACAGAUACUGACACUCAGAUGCGAAAGCGUGGGGAGCAAACAGGAUUAGAUACCCUGGUAG
rnacentral:rRNA from 1 species